rnacentral:piRNA from 1 species
UGCCUCCUUCACUCAAGGUGCUUUGUCUGU